UAAUGGAAACCACAAUACCGAUGGCAGUGAAGGGAACAAGUGCAAUAACCACAAUACCGACAAAUGAAGCUAACGUUGGGUUGUUGCACUCGUUCCCUUCACUGCCAUCGGUAUUGUGGCGUUUGUUA
rnacentral:pre_miRNA from 1 species